GCCAGGAUUCUUUCUGUGUCAGAAACUGAG
rnacentral:piRNA from 1 species